rnacentral:rRNA from 1 species
AAAGGAAUUGACGGGGGCCCGCACAAGCAGCGGAGCAUGUUGUUUAAUUCGAAGCAACGCGAAGAACCUUACCAGGUCUUGACAUCGAUGUAAACCUUCAGAGAUGAAGGGUCUCUUCGGAGGACAGAAGACAGGUGGUGCAUGGUUGUCGUCAGCUCGUGUCGUGAGAUGUUGGGUUAAGUCCCGCAACGAGCGCAACCCUUAUGGUCAGUUACUAACGCGUGAAGGCGAGGACUCUGACAAGACUGCCGGGGACAACUCGGAGGAAGGUGGGGACGACGUCAAAUCAUCAUGCCCCUUAUGACCUGGGCUACAAACGUGCUACAAUGGUGACUACAAAGAGGAGCGAGACCGUAAGGUGGAGCGGAUCUCAAAAAAGUCAUCCCAGUUCGGAUUGUGGGCUGCAACCCGCCCACAUGAAGUUGGAGUUGCUAGUAAUCGCGGAUCAGCAUGCCGCGGUGAAUACGUUCCCGGGCCUUGUACACACCGCCCGU